rnacentral:rRNA from 1 species
GACGUAGGGGGCCAGCGUUGUUCGGAAUUACUGGGGGUAAAGGGUUCGUAGGCGGUGCGGCAAGUCGGGAGUGAAAUCUCUGGGCUUAACCCAGAGGCUGCUUCCGAAACUGCUGUGCUUGAGUGUGGGAGAGGCGCGUGGAAUUGCAGGUGUAGCGGUGAAAUGCGUAGAUAUCUGCAGGAACACCCGUGGCGAAAGCGGCGCGCUGGACCACUACUGACGCUGAGGAACGAAAGCUAGGGGAGCAAACAGG